rnacentral:lncRNA from 10 species
CUCAUAUGUGACCUGCACCAGUGCUAUGUUGUUUUAAAUGUAUUGAAAUAUGUUCUUGCUUUAUGGAGGCAUCAACAACAUCAACUCACUUGCAAAUACCAAUGUGUCAAAAUUUGAUACAGAUACUGAUAUUAAUAUGAUAUAGAAGGAUGAUAAUUAAGCUUGGAUAAUUUUAUAAAGAUAAUUGGCAUCAAACUAAUAAGGCACAUUUAUGCAUUAUAUAUUUGCUAAAUUAAUGUCUUAUUUAGUUAUUUAUAAUAUUUAAGUGUCUUCUCUGUUGAUUUCGUGUUAUUAGCUUAUGUCAUUUUCUGUGUGACUAAAUUGUCCUAUUAAUUAUAGUGUAAGAGCUCUGUAGUGUGAAAUUUAAAAAGCAAAUUAUAAUAUAUAAUUCUUGUUAUGAUAUUGUAUCAAUUAGGAAUAGUUUUUUGCAAGUAACAGAAAACUUGACUGAUAGGCUUAAGUCACAUGGACAUUACCUAACAAAGAGACCAGAGAAAAGCCAGCCCCGGAUUGAGUCAACGGUUCAAUUAUGUCAUCAAAACACAAGGUCCUUCAAAUUUUCUACUCAAUCAGCUUUGAACAGGAUCACAUAGCCAUCCCAGGUAAGUCACUGUCAAGGAGCAACAAGAUUGUCGUAAUUGCUUUACACCAAAAGUGACUUAUAUCCAGGGGCUGAGUGCAUUGGAAUGGAACAUAAGCAACCAACAGAGUCUACCACAGGUACGUGUGGCCCCUUCCAAAUCCAAGCAUGUAAUAGCGAUCCUAGUAUACAACUAAAUGGUGGUAACUAAAUACCUCUCCCCAUUUUGUAUUCCUCUCUUAGUCUCUUCCUGUCUUUCUCUGUUUCUGUAACACACACAUACACACAAACACACACACACACACCCCAGGACUAAUGAGCCAUGAGGCCAGAAAGCCAGAUAAUGCCAAAAGACGUGAGUUCCAAAGCAAUCCUAAGACUAUUGCCUCCCUGCAGUUAAAGUGCCUUGUCCACAAAUGUAUGUGCGGCUAUAAGCUUUCAUUUUCAUACUUUCAGUCUUGCAAACUACAAUUGAAGCUGAUGAAAAAAUAUGAUUACAGGCUUUGGCACUUGAGUGCCCCCAUGGAUUUAUCUGCAUACUAACAGGUCCUUUCCUGCAUAGAGAGG